GCUAACAACUACGAACUAUCUAGCUAGCUAGUUGUCCGAUGCUGGGGCUGCUGGAUUCUGCUCUUUACUUGAAGUGCUUGUCUCAGCGAACGUCAAUGUCGCCGAAUUAGAUGUGGCUUCCUCUAGCCUUUCCACACUCUUUUCGAGGACCCCCCAAAAACAAUCGACGAAAGAAGUAAACAACUCCAAGCAUCAUCCUAUUCGCCGAAAGGUACUCCCUAGUUUUAGCUACAUCAACUCAAACACGGACCUAUUUCCACACACGAGUUGAUACCGUUGAUUGGGGCGGGCUAAAGUGUAGAGAUACACGUCGCUUUAUCCGUUAUGGCACUGUACAACCUAACUGCACUGUGUGGCAGUUUUCAGUUGCGCACCAGUGACAAAUAAGGCUGCUCGCCAGAAACCCAAGUGCUGUAGCUAAGCUACUCUGUUGCACUGGCUGUGAAAAGUACCAAUCCUCAGCAGACCAGGGCUUCAAAGCAGAUUCCCAACAAGCAAGCAGAGGCGACAGUGGCAAGGAAAAACCUGCAGAGGCACCAGGCUCGAGAGGCAGUCCAUCUUCUUCUGGCUUGCCAAGGUGUUCGUGAAAUCGGCAGCAUCCUCUUCACAUUCCUCAUCAGCAUCUUCUGGUACCAGACAACAUCUGGUUGGCCUGGGCUGUGAGUGGGCUGUGUGUGAUGCUAGCCAUGUUCCUGGGAGCUCCUACCUAUCUCAUGAACGUAGAUGGUCAUAUGGAUAACUAUACGCAAGACGGAGGCUGCCCUCCAGACUUCAUCCAGUGGCCCAAGGAGAACUGCCCGACCAUUAACGGUGUCUUCAGGUGCUGCUGGUUCAGAGGAGGGUGGUGGUGCCAGCGCUGAGUGCAGCAGGGGCGCCAGUGGAGCAGCCUCCCAGGAAGAAGGUCUCUACCUGGGGAUCGAAAGGAACACAGUGGGCAUCCUGGCUGCCAUGGGGGUGUUCCAGGUGGAAUGGAUCCUUCAGUCCCUACGACUUCCCCUUUUGGACCGAGGUGGAGUUCUUCAUCACAACGUCCUAUAUCACAAUCAGCCCUUAUGUGUAUGGGAUAGGGAGUAACCUGUUUUCUGUGAAACACUUUAAGAAGUAAUGGAAGAAAGACUUUUUAGGCCUUAGGUGUCAGGUGUAAGCAAUUUUCUGUGCAGUAUGAUUAUGGGAUAAGGGAAUAACCUCUUCUCUGAAACAUGUAACAAAGUAAUUGUGGUAUAUUUAUAAACCCUCUGUGUUAGAUGUAGGUGAUUCUCUAUUUUCUCUGAAGUAAUUUUAAGAAGUCAAAGCACGGUUUUUAGACGUAAACUACCGGUCAAACGUUUUAGAAAUCCUACUCAUUCCAGGGUUUUUCUUUAUCUUUUACUAUUUUCUACAUUGUGGAAUAAUAGUGAAGACAUCAAAACUAUUAAAUAAAACAUAUGGAAUAAUGUAGUAACCAAAAGUGUUAAACGAAUCAAAAUAUAUUUUAUAUUUGAGAUUCUUCAAAUAGCCACCCUUUGCCUUGAUGAAAGCUUUGCAAACUCCUGGCAUUCUCAACCAGCUUCAUGAGGUAGUUACAUAGAAUGUAUUUCAAUUAACAGGUGUGCCUUAAAAGUGAAUUUGUGAAAUGUAUUUCCUUCUUAAUGCAUUUGAGCCAAUCAGUUGUGUUGUGACAAGGUAGGGGUGGUAUACAGAAGAUAGUCCUAUUUGGUAAAAGACCGAGUCCAUAUUAUGGCAAGAACAGCUCAAAUAAGCAGAGAAACGACAGUCCAUCAUUAAUUUAAGACAUGAAGGUCAGUCAAUACGGAAAAUGUCUAGAACUUUGAACGUUUCUUAAAGUGCAUUUGCAAAAAUCAUCAAGCGCUUUGAUGAAACUGGCUCUCACGAGGACUGCCACAGGAAAGGAAGACCCAGAGUUACCUCUGCUGCAGAGGAUAAGUUCAUUAGAGUUACCAGCCUCAGAAAUGGCAGCCCAAAUAAAUGGUUUGCAGAGUUCAAGUAACAGACACAUCUCAACAUCAACUGUUCAGAGGAGACUGCGUGAAUCCUGUCUUCAUGGUUGAAUUACUGCAAAGAAACCACUACUAAAGAACACCAAUAAGAAGAAAAGACUUGCUUGGGUCAAGAAACACGAGCAAUGGACAUUAGACCAGUGGAAAUCUGUCUUUUGGUCUGAUGAAUCCAAAUUCGAGAUUUUUGGUUCAAACCGCUGUGUCUUUUGAGACGCAGAGUGAACGGAUGAUCUCCGCAUGUGUGAAGCAUGGAGGAGGAGGUGUGAUGGUGUGGAGGGGCUUUGCUGGUGACACUGCCUGUGAUUUAUUCAAGGCACACUUAACCAGCAUGGCUACCACAGCAUUCUGCAGUGAUACGUCAUCCCAUCUGGUUUGCGCUUAGUGGGACUAUCAUUUUUUCCCCAAAAGAACAAUGACCCAAAACAAACAUCCGGGGUGUGUAAGGGCUAUUUGACCAAGAAGGAGAGUGAUGGAGUGCUGCAUCAGAUGACCUGGCCUCCACAAUCAUCUGACCUCAACCCAAUUGAGAUGGUUUGGGAUGAGUUGGACCACAGAGUAAAGGAAAAGCAGCCAACAAGUACUCCGCAUAUGUGAGAACUCCUUCAAGACUGCUGGAAAAGCAUUCCUCAUGAAGUUGGUUGAGAGAAUUUCAAGAGUGUGCAAAGCUGUCAUCAAGGCAAAGGGUGGCUACUUUGAAGAAUCUAAAAUAUAUUUUUAAUUGUUUAACACAUUUUUUUUUGUUACUACAUGAUUCCGUAUGUGUUAUUUCUUAGUUUUGAUGUCUUCACUAUUAUUCUACAAUGUAGAAAAUAGUGAAAAUAAAUGUAAAAAACCUUGAAUGAGUAGGUGUGUCCAAACUUUUGACUGGUACUGUGUGUGUGUGUGUGUGUGUGUGUGUGUGUGUGUGUGUGUGUGUGUGUGUGUGUACAGUUGAAGUCUUAAGUUUACAUACACCUCAGCCAAAUACAUUUAAAUUGUGUUUUUUGCAAUUCCUGACAUUUAAUCCUAGUAAAAAUUCCCUGUCUUAGGUCAGUUAGGAUCACCACUUUAUUUUAAGAAUGUGAAAUGUCAGAAUAAUAGUAGAGAGAAUGAUUUAUUUCAGCUUUUAUUUCAUUCAUCACAUACCUAGUGGGUUAGAAGUUUACAUACACUCAAUUAGUAUUUGGUAGCAUUGCCUUUAAAUUGUUUAACUUGGGUCAAACGUUUCAGGUAGCCUUCCACAAGAUUCCCACCAUAAAUUUGAUUAAUUUUGGCCCAUUUCUCCUGACAGAGCUGGUGUAACUGAGUCAGGUUUGUAGCCCUCCUUGCUCGCACACGCUUUUUCAGUUCUACCCACAAAUGUUCUAUAGGGUUGAGGUCAGGGCUUUGUGAUGACCACUCCAAUACCUUGACUUUGUAUACCCAUUUUGCCACAACUUUGGAAAUAUGCUUGGGGUCAUUGUCCAUUUGAAGAUCCAAGCAUUAACUUCCUGACUGAUGUCUAGAUAUGUUGCUUGAAUAUAUCCGCAUCAUUUUCCUUCCUCAUGCAGCUAUCUAUUUUGUGAAGUGCUCCAGCCCCUCCUGCAGCAAAGCACGCCCACAACAUGAUGCUGCCACCCCUGUGCUUAAUGGUUGGGAUGGUGUUCUUCGGCUUGCAAGCCUCCCCCUUUUUCCUCCAAAUAUAACGAUGGUCAUUGUGGCCAAACAGUUCUAUUUUUGUUUCAUCAGACCAGAGGACAUUUCUCCAAAAAGUACAAUCUUUGUCCCCAUGUGCAGUUGCAAACCGUAGUCUGGCUUUUUUUAUGGAGGUUUUGGAGCAGUGGCUUCUUCCUUGUUGAGCGGCCUUUCAGGUUAUGUCGAUAUAGGACUCGUUGUACUGUGGAUAUAGAUACUUUUGUACCUGUUUCCUCCAGCAUCUUCACAAGGUCCUUUGCUGUUGUUCUGGGAUUGAUUUGCACCUUUCGCACCAAAGUACGUUAAUCUCUAGGAGACAGAACGCGUCUCCUUCCUGUGUGGUAUAACGGCUGCGUGGCCCCAUGGUAUUUAUACUUGCAUACUAUUGUUUGUACAGAUGAACGUGGUACCUUCAGGCGUUUGGAAAUUUCUCCCAAGGAUGAACCAGACUUGUGGAGGUCCACAAUUUAGCUGAUUUGUUUUUAUUUUCCCAUGAUGUCAAGCAAAGAGGCACUGAGUUUGAAGGUAGGCCUUGAAAUACAUCCACAAGUACACCUCCAAUUGACUCAAAUGAUGUCAAUUAGCCUAUCAGAAGCUUCUAAAGCCAUGACAUAAUUUUCAGGUAUUUUCCAAGCUGUUUAUAAGCACAGUCAACUUCGUGUAUGUAAACUUCUGACUCACUGGAAUUGUGAUACAGUGAAUUAUAAGUGAAAUAAUCUGUCUGUAAACAAUUGUUGGAAAAGUGACUUGUGUCAUGUACAAAGUAGAUGUCCUAACCGACUUGCCAAAACUAUAGUUUCUUAACAAGAAAUUUGUGGAGUGGUUGAAAAACGAGUUUUAAUCACUCCAACCUAAGUGUAUGUAAACUUCCGACUUCAACUGUAUAUAUAACAUUGAACUCUGUCUAUGAUUGAAUGUAUGACACAGAGUGCCCAUGACACAGAGUGCCCAUGACACUUGACAACAAUGAAAAUAAGUCUUGACUUUUUGUUUAUGUAACCUCAACAGGUUUGGUAUAUGUAUCUGUUGCCUGGUGCAACAUUUUGUGUAUUUUAAAUUGUCAAAUAAAAUCAUACUGGGAACUAUC
ensembl:lncRNA